AACGAACGCUGGCGGCAUGCCUAACACAUGCAAGUCGAACGAGAACUUCGGGUCUAGUGGCGCACGGGUGCGUAACGCGUGGGAACCUGCCCUUAGGUUCGGAAUCACUCCCCGAAAGGGAUGCUACUCACAGUUAAUGUCUUAGGACCAAAGAUUUAUCGCCUUUGGAUGGGCCCGAGUUGGAUUAGUUAGUUGGUAGGGUAAAAGCCUACCAAGGCGACGAUCCAUAGCUGCUUUGAGAGGAUGAUCAGCCACGCCGGGACUGAGACACGGCCCAGACUCCUACGGGAGGCAGCAGUGGGGAAUAUUGGACAAUGGGCGAAAGCGUGAUCCAGCAAUGCCGCGUGAGUGAUGAAGGCCUUAGGGUUGUAAAGCUCUUUUACCCGGGAUGAUAAUGACAGUACCUGGAGAAGAAGCUCCGGCUAACUCCGUG
rnacentral:rRNA from 1 species